GGAGGGCAAACCGAAGAGUUUACUCUUCGGGGUUGUAGGACUGCAAUGUGGACUCAAAGAUUAUAGAAGAAUGAUUUGGGAAGAUCAGCCAAAGAGAGUAAUAGCCUCGUAUUUAAAAUAGUCUUUGUACCUAGCAGUAUCCUGAGUACGGCGGGACACGUGAAAUCCCGUCGGAAUCUGGGAGGACCAUCUCCCAACCCUAAAUACUCCCUAGUGACCGAUAGUGAACCAGUACCGUGAGGGAAAGGUGAAAAGCACCCCGGGAGGGGAGUGAAAUAGAACCUGAAACCGUGUGCCUACAACAAGUUCGAGCCCGUUAAUGGGUGAGAGCGUGCCUUUUGUAGAAUGAACCGGCGAGUUACGUUAUGAUGCGAGGUUAAGUUGAAGAGACGGAGCCGUAGGGAAACCGAGUCUGAAUAGGGCGCCUUAGUAUCAUGACGUAGACCCGAAACCAUGUGACCUACCCAUGAGCAGGUUGAAGGUGCGGUAAGACGCACUGGAGGACCGAACCAGGGCACGUUGAAAAGUGCUUGGAUGACUUGUGGGUAGCGGAGAAAUUCCAAACGAACUUGGAGAUAGCUGGUUCUCUCCGAAAUAGCUUUAGGGCUAGCGUCGACAUUAGAGAUUCUUGGAGGUAGAGCACUGUUUGGGUGAGGGGUCCAUCCCGGAUUACCAAUCUCAGAUAAACUCCGAAUGCCAAUGAAUUAUGGUCGGCAGUCAGACUGCGAGUGCUAAGAUCCGUAGUCGAAAGGGAAACAGCCCAGACCACCAGCUAAGGUCCCAAAAUAAUUGUUAAGUGGAAAAGGAUGUGGGGUUGCACAGACAACUAGGAUGUUAGCUUAGAAGCAGCUAUUCAUUCAAAGAGUGCGUAAUAGCUCACUAGUCGAGUGACCCUGCGCCGAAAAUGUACCGGGGCUAAAACAAUUUACCAAAGCUGUGGAUACCUUUAUAGGUAUGGUAGGAGAGCGUUCUAUGUGUGAUGAAGGUAUACCGUGAGGAGUGCUGGAACGCAUAGAAGUGAGAAUGCCGGUAUGAGUAGCGAAAGACAGGUGAGAAUCCUGUCCACCGUAAGACUAAGGUUUCCAGGGGAAGGCUCGUCCGCCCUGGGUUAGUCGGGACCUAAGGAGAGACCGAAAGGUGUAUCCGAUGGACAACAGGUUGAUAUUCCUGUACUAGAGUAUGUAGUGAUGGAGGGACGCAGUAGGCUAACUAAAGCAGACGAUUGGAAGAGUCUGUCUAAGCAGUGAGGUGUGAAUUGAGUCAAAUGCUUAAUUCUAUAACAUUGAGCUGUGAUGGGGAGCGAAGUUUAGUAGCGAAGUUAGUGACGUCACACUGCCAAGAAAAGCUUCUAGCGUUUAAACAUACUCUACCCGUACCGCAAACCGACACAGGUAGUCGAGGCGAGUAGCCUCAGGUGAGCGAGAGAACUCUCGUUAAGGAACUCGGCAAAAUGACCCCGUAACUUCGGGAGAAGGGGUGCUGACUUAAAGUCAGCCGCAGUGAAUAGGCCCAAGCAACUGUUUAUCAAAAACACAGCUCUCUGCUAAAUCGUAAGAUGAUGUAUAGGGGGUGACGCCUGCCCGGUGCUGGAAGGUUAAGAGGAGUGCUUAGCGUAAGCGAAGGUAUGAAUUGAAGCCCCAGUAAACGGCGGCCGUAACUAUAACGGUCCUAAGGUAGCGAAAUUCCUUGUCGGGUAAGUUCCGACCCGCACGAAAGGCGUAAUGAUUUGGGCACUGUCUCAACGAGAGACUCGGUGAAAUUUUAGUACCUGUGAAGAUGCAGGUUACCCGCGACAGGACGGAAAGACCCCAUGGAGCUUUACUGCAGUUUGAUAUUGAGUGUCUGUACCACAUGUACAGGAUAGGUAGGAGUCUAAGAAAUCGGGACGCCAGUUUCGAAGGAGACGCUGUUGGGAUACUACCCUUGUGUUAUGGCCACUCUAACCCAGAUAGGUGAUCCCUAUCGGAGACAGUGUCUGACGGGCAGUUUGACUGGGGCGGUCGCCUCCUAAAAGGUAACGGAGGCGCCCAAAGGUUCCCUCAGAAUGGUUGGAAAUCAUUCGCAGAGUGUAAAGGUAUAAGGGAGCUUGACUGCGAGAGCUACAACUCGAGCAGGGACGAAAGUCGGGCUUAGUGAUCCGGUGGUUCCGUAUGGAAGGGCCAUCGCUCAACGGAUAAAAGCUACCCUGGGGAUAACAGGCUUAUCUCCCCCAAGAGUUCACAUCGACGGGGAGGUUUGGCACCUCGAUGUCGGCUCGUCGCAUCCUGGGGCUGUAGUCGGUCCCAAGGGUUGGGCUGUUCGCCCAUUAAAGCGGCACGCGAGCUGGGUUCAGAACGUCGUGAGACAGUUCGGUCCCUAUCCGUCGCGGGCGUAGGAAAUUUGAGAGGAUCUGCUCCUAGUACGAGAGGACCAGAGUGGACUUACCGCUGGUGUACCAGUUGUCUUGCCAAAGGCAUCGCUGGGUAGCUAUGUAGGGAAGGGAUAAACGCUGAAAGCAUCUAAGUGUGAAACCCACCUCAAGAUGAGAUUUCCCAUGAUUAUAUAUCAGUAAGAGCCCUGAGAGAUGAUCAGGUAGAUAGGUUAGAAGUGGAAGUGUGGCGACACAUGUAGCGGACUAAUACUAAUAGCUCGAGGACUUAUCCA
rnacentral:rRNA from 1 species